rnacentral:rRNA from 1 species
AUUGAACGCUGGCGGCGGGCUUAACACAUGCAAGUCGAGCGGGGGCUUCGGUCCUAGCGGCGAACGGGUGAGGAAUGCCUGGGAAUCUGCCUGGUAGUGGGGGAUAACGAUUCGAAAGGGUCGCUAAUACCGCAUACGUCCUACGGGAGAAAGCAGGGGACCUUCGGGCCUUGCGCUAUCAGAUGAGCCCAGGUCGGAUUAGCUAGUAGGUGAGGUAAAGGCUCACCUAGGCGACGAUCCGUAGCUGGUCUGAGAGGAUGAUCAGCCACACUGGAACUGAGACACGGUCCAGACUCCUACGGGAGGCAGCAGUGGGGAAUAUUGGACAAUGGGCGAAAGCCUGAUCCAGCCAUGCCGCGUGUGUGAAGAAGGCCUUCGGUUGU